GGAUUAUAGAUGUACCUUACUUCUUUUUUUUAGAUCAGCUGGUUUGGUUCAUAUCAAAGUCGUCCCUUUCAUUGGAUCAUAUUCAAAUCACUGGAUGAGACAAGCAUCAUCACCGGGCCGAGGCUCGAGUGAUGGCGUCACGUCAGUGUCAAGAGUGCGGCUGCGGCUCAGCAGAUGGUUACACAGCUUUAUUUAAUUGUCAAACUCUGGCAUGGCAGCCCAAAUCCCUCAUCUGACCGUCUACCCUGCCCGGGCUGUCUGAACUGCUCGGAGACGCGCCACGACCAACGCAUGGGGGGGAAUGGAUGCACAAGAACACACAAAAACUAGGCCAGGCACCCUUAUUCCUAAAGGUGACAACAAAAACUGUUCCAAAGAGACAACUGGACAACAGUUCUGCACAAAUCAUGAAGUGCUCGCCUCACUUCUCUCUGACCCGCGGGGGCCUCCUCUGCGCGCCCUCCAGGCUGCCCUCAGCUGCCGUAUGAGAGCUGGGAGUUCCAGGGCCAGCGACAGGCCCCCGCAGGUGACCGGAGGAGUCCUGAGAGGACCCCACACUGGUGAGCGGGAAGC